UCAUUCUAAUAUUUUUUAGACCUUUUGAAUUUUGCAAGUCAGUUUCAUAAAACAUUGAGUUGAUUCCUAAAAGAUCAAAUGUAGUCAAUACUGAGCGUUUGUUGAUUUUGCCUACUGCAAAAGAACCUCAAGUUGGAAUCUCUCUACAUUCAUAUUUGUGAGUCUAUGAGGAUUGCCAGCUUGUCUUAAGGAACUGUGCUCACUCCCUGCCCAGUUGUGCAAUACCCAGAACUCUGAAGAAACAGCAAGGCUGGGCUCAUUGCGGACUUGUCUGAAUGGGUGUGAGGCAACAGGUGGAACCAUGGUGAAAUGGAGAGCACAUGAAAGUAUUUCAGCUUGCGUCUCGCUCUGUCGUCCAGGCUGAAAUGUAGUGGUGUGAUCUUGGCUUACUGCAACUUCAGCCUCCUGGGUUCAAGCAAUUCUCCUGCCUCAGCAACCCGAGUAGCUGGGAUUACAGAUGCCUGCCACCAUGCCUGGCUAAUUUUUGUAUUUUUAGUAGAGACAGGGUUUCACCAUGUUGACCAGGCUGGUCUUGAACUCCUGACCUCAGGUGAUCCGCCUACCUCAGCCUCCCAAAGUGCUGGGAUUACAGGCAUGAGCCACCGUGCCCAACUUCGUCUCAAUUUUUGAAAAGGGAAAAAAAAAAAGAAUUGUAAGACUAGCAUCUCCCCUCAAGAAUCUUAUUGCUAUGGUCUGAUCAAGAUGAUAAGACUUACCUUCAUUCAUCCAACAGACAUUUUGUUGAAGUGCUGAAGGUCUUCGUCAAAGCAACAGUACAGGAAUUAAAACCCAGGAGACUGAUUGCAGUGAAACUAUUCCCACAUAUGAAAGCCAACACACAUCUCCAAAGGAAGACGACCAACAACAGCUCCUUCAGAGCCUCACCAGCAUCUUCAGAGGUGUGCUUUAAGAAUGGCUUCAGGCUGAGCGCAGUGGCUUAUGGCUGUAAUCUUAGCACUUUGGGAAGCCGAGGCAGGAGGACUGCUUGAGCCCAGGAGUACGAGAUCAGCCUGGGCAACACAGUGAGACCCUACCUCUACAAAAAAAUAAAAAAUUAGCCAGGCAUGAUGGCAUGCACCUGUAGUCCCAGCUACUCAAGAGAAUGAGGUGGGAGGAUCACUUCAGCCCAGGAGGUCCAAGGCUGCAGUGAGCCAUGAUUGCGCCACUGCUCUCCAGACUGGGCAACAGAGGAAGACCCUGUCUCAAAAAAAAUAAAAAAAAGAAUGUCUCCCAAUUGCAUGCUUUCAUCAACUUGUGUGAAUAUACACUCAGACAAUACAGUAAUACAGAUGGAACCAAAUCACCUCUCUAAACCACCCUUCAUCCUUCCCCACUCUGCUAUUGCACUGCAUGGCUAACCGGUAAGCUCUGCUCUUUGGCUUCUGGCUGAGUUUGGCCAAAAGGCACCCUAGCAGGGAUCAGAGUAAGG
rnacentral:lncRNA from 1 species